CAGCAACCCCCGGAGGUUCAUCCACAACUGCAGCACCAACAACCACUGGAGGAUCAACAACCACUGAAGGGUCAACAACCACAGAAGGGUCGACAGCUACAGGAGGAUCGACAGCCCCUGGAGGAUCCACAACAACCGGAGCAUCAUCAACAACGCAAGAAACUCCAGCUAUUACUACCAGUUCUCCAACAACUACUGCUGGAUUAUCAACUACCACAGGAGGUUCAACCAUCACAAUUGGAUCAACAAUUGGUGGAUCAACAACCAUAGGAGUAACAACAACCACUGGAGAAUCAACGACUGGAGAAUCAACAAUCACUGCAGGACCAACCAACUCUGGGGGUUCAACCAUCACUACUGGAUCAACAACUGGUGGAUCAACAACCACUGCAGGAUCCACAACAACCGGAACAUCAUCAACAACGCAAGAAACUCCAGCUAUUGCUACCAGUUCUCCAACAACUACUGCUGGAUUAUCAACUGCCACUGGAGGUUCAACCAUCACAAUUGGAUCAACAAUUGGUGGAUCAACAACCAUGGGAGUAACAACAACCACUGGAGAAUCAACGACUGGAGAAUCAACAAUCACUGGAGGACCAAUCACCACUGGAGGUUCAACCAUCACUACUGGAUCAACAACUGGUGGAUCAUCAACCACUGGAGGAUCCACAUCAACCGGAACAUCAUCAACAACGCAAGAAACUCCAGCUAUUGCUACCAGUACUCCAACAACUACUGCUGGAUUAUCAACUACCACUGGAGGUUCAACCAUCACAAUUGGAUCAACAAUUGGUGGAUCAACAACCAUGGGAGUAACAACAACCACUGGAGAAUCAACGACUGGAGAAUCAACAAUCACUGGAGAACCAAUCACCACUGGAGGUUCAACCAUCACUACUGGAUCAACAACUGGUGGAUCAACAACUGGAGGAUCCACAUCAACCGGAACAUCAUCAACAACGCAAGAAACUCCAGCUAUUACUACCAGUUCUCCAACAACUACUGCUGGAUUAUCAACUACCACAGGAGGUUCAACCAUCACAAUUGGAUCAACAAUUGGUGGAUCAACAACCAUGGGAGCAACAACAACCACUGGAGAAUCAACGACUGGAGAAUCAACAAUCACUGGAGCACCAACCACCACUGGAGGUUCAACCAUCACUACUGGAUCAACAACUGGUGGAUCAACAACUGGAGGAUCCACAACAACCGGAGCAUCUUUAACAACGCAAGAAACUCCAACUAUUACAACAACUACCAGUUCUCCAACAACUACUGCUGGAUUAUCAACCACCACUGGAGGUUCAACCAUCACUACUGGAUUAACAAUUGGUGGAUCAACAACAAUAGGAGGAACAAUCACCACUGGAGGUUCAACCAUCACUACUGGAUCAACAACUGGUGGAUCAAUAACAACUGGAGGAUCCAUAACAACUGGAGCAUCAUCAUCAACCACACGAGAAACUCAGACUAUUACAACAACUACCAGUUCUCCAACCACUACUGCUGGAUUAUCAACUACCACUGGAGGAUCAACAACCACUCGAGGAUCCACAACGACUACAGGACCAACAACAACUGCAGAAUCAACAACCACUGGAGGAUCAACCAUCACUACUGGAUCAACAAUUGGUGGAUCAACAACCAUAGUAGGCAUUAUCACCACUGGAAGUUCAACCAUCACUACUGGAUCAACAACUGGUGGAUCAAUAACAACUGGAGGAUUCACAACAACUGGAGCAUCAUCAUCAACAACACAAGAAACUCCAACUAUUACAACAACUACCAGUUCUCCAACCACUACUGCUGGAUUAUCAACUACCACUGGAGGAUCAACAACCACUCGAGGAUCCACAACGACUGCAGGACCAACAGCAACUGCAGAAUCAACAACCACUGGAGGAUCAACAACCACUGGAGGAUCAACAACCACUGGAGGAUCAACAACCACUGGAGGGUCAGCAACCACUGGAGUAUCAACGACCACUGCAGUACCAACAACCACUGGAGGAUCAACCAUCACUACUGGAUCAACAAUUGGUGGAUCAACAACCAUAGUAGGCAUUAUCACCACUGGAAGUUCAACCAUCACUACUGGAUCAACAACUGGUGGAUCAAUAACAACUGGAGGAUUCACAACAACUGGAGCAUCAUCAUCAACAACACAAGAAACUCCAACUAUUACAACAACUACCAGUUCUCCAACAACUACUGCUGGAUUAUCAACUACCACUGGAGGAUCAACAACCACUCGAGGAUCCACAACGACUGCAGGACCAACAGCAACUGCAGAAUCAACAACCACUGGAGGAUCAACAACCACUGGAGGAUCAACAACCACUGGAGGAUCAACAACCACUGGAGGGUCAGCAACCACUGCAGUACCAACAACCACUGGAGGAUCAACAACCACUGAAGUACCAACAACAACUGGAGAAUCAACAACCACUGGAGGAUCAACAACCACUGGAGGAUCAACAACCACUGGAGGGUCAACAACCACUGCAGUACCAACAACCACUGGAGGAUCAACAACCACUGAAGUACCAACAACCACUGGAGAAUCAACAACCACUGGAGGGUCAACCAUCCCUACUGAAUCAAUAACUGGUGGAUCAACAACAACUGGAGCAUCAUCAUCAACAACACAAGAAACUCCAACUAUUACAACAACUACCAGUUCUCCGACCACUACUGCUGGAUUAUCAACUACCACUGGAGGAUCAACAACCACUCGAGGAUCCACAACGACUGCAGGACCAACAGCAACUGCAGAAUCAACAACCACUGGAGGAUCAACAACCACUGGAGGAUCAACAACCACUGGAGGGUCAGCAACCACUGCAGUACCAACAACCACUGGAGGAUCAACAACCACUGAAGUACCAACAACAACUGGAGAAUCAACAACCACUGGAGGAUCAACAACCACUGGAGGAUCAACAACCACUGGAGGGUCAGCAACCACUGCAGUACCAACAACCACUGGAGGAUCAACAACCACUGAAGUACCAACAACCACUGGAGAAUCAACAACCACUGGAGGGUCAACCAUCCCUACUGAAUCAAUAGCUGGUGGAUCAACAACAACUGGAGCAUCAUCAUCAACAACACAAG
ensembl:lncRNA